rnacentral:rRNA from 1 species
CAUGACUCCCUUCCCACUAACAGGUUAACCUAUGAUAAUAGGAGAAUUUAUACUAAAAUGAGUAACUAGGGUGCACCCCUCUCAAGCGCAAACUUACAUUCCCACAUUAUUAACAGACACUUAAUAUCCCCACGUCAACAAGACCUCGUAUUUUACCCACUGUUAAUCCAACCCAGGAGCGCCUGCUAGAAAGAUUAAAAUCUGUAAAAGGAACUAGGCAAACCCCCAAGGCCCGACUGUUUACCAAAAACAUAGCCUUCAGCCAAACCAAGUAUUGAAGGUGAUGCCUGCCCAGUGACCUAUGUUCAACGGCCGCGGUAUCCUAACCGUGCGAAGGUAGCGCAAUCAAUUGUCUCAUAAAUCGAGACUUGUAUGAAUGGCUAAACGAGGUCUUAACUGUCUCUUACAGAUAAUCAGUGAAAUUGAUCUCCCUGUGCAAAAGCAGGAAUACAUACAUAAGACGAGAAGACCCUGUGGAACUUAAAAAUCAAUAGCCACCCCACAAACAAACCAAACCUACCCAGGCCCACCACUACAACACACUGGCUAACAUUUUUCGGUUGGGGCGACCUUGGAGAAAAACAAACCCUCCAAAAAUAAGACCACCCCUCUUAACCAAGAGCAACCCCUCGACGUACUAAUAGUAACCAGACCCAAUAUAAUUGAUCAAUGGACCAAGCUACCCCAGGGAUAACAGCGCAAUCCCUUCCAAGAGCCCAUAUCGACGAAGGGGUUUACGACCUCGAUGUUGGAUCAGGACAUCCUAAUGGUGCAGCAGCUAUUAAGGGUUCGUUUGUUCAACGAUUAACAGUCCUACGUGAUCUGAGUUCAGACCGGAGUAAUCCAGGUCGGUUUCUAUCUAUGACGAACUUUUCCCAGUACGAAAGGACCGGAAAAGUGAGGCCAAUACUUCAAAUUGCACGCCUCCCCUCUAAGUAAUGACCUCAACUGAAUUACUAAGAGACCCACCACGACACUCAAUCCUAGAAAAGGAUA